AGCAGCCGCGGUAAUUCCAGCUCCAAUAGCGUAUAUUAAAGUUGUUGCAGUUAAAAAGCUCGUAGUUGAAUUUCGGGAUCAAUAUGUCGGUCGUGCUUAGGUGCGUACUGGCAUUAUUGGUUUCUCCUUUCUGAUGAACCAUGAUGCCAUUAAUUUGGUGUUAUGGGGAAUCAGGACUGUUACCUUGAAAAAAUUAGAGUGUUUAAAGCAGGCUCACGCUUGAAUACAUUAGCAUGGAAUAAUGAAAUAGGACGUUUGAUUCUAUUUUGUUGGUUUCUAGGAUCGACGUAAUGAUUAAUAGGGAUAGUUGGGGGGCAUUAGUAUUCAAUUGUCAGAGGUGAAAUUCUUGGAUUUAUUGAAGACUAACUACUGCGAAAGCAUUUGCCAAGGAUGUUUUCAUUAAUCAAGAACGAAAGUUAGGGGAUCGAAGACGAUCAGAUACCGUCGUAGUCUUAACCAUAAACUAUGCCGACUAGGGAUCGGAUGAUGUUAAUUUUUUAAUGACUCAUUC
rnacentral:rRNA from 1 species